CAGCCGCCGCGGUAAAACGUAGGGUGCAAGCGUUAAUCGGAAUUACUGGGCGUAAAGCGUGCGCAGGCGGUUUUGUAAGACAGAGGUGAAAUCCCCGGGCUCAACCUGGGAACUGCCUUUGUGACUGCAAGGCUAGAGUACGGCAGAGGGGGAUGGAAUUCCGCGUGUAGCAGUGAAAUGCGUAGAUAUGCGGAGGAACACCGAUGGCGAAGGCAAUCCCCUGGGCCUGUACUGACGCUCAUGCACGAAAGCGUGGGGAGCAAACAGGAUUAGAUACCCCUGUAGUCCCUGUCUCUUAUAC
rnacentral:rRNA from 1 species